ensembl:lncRNA
ACCCACUCCGCUCCCGCUGCGGGGCCGGCAUAGUGCGGCGCAACGCUCGCUUGGUGACCGGCGCCGUGCAUCUCCGGGCAGGGCUGCGGCAUCCCGACAGGAUGCCCUCCCCGAGCCCUGGCGCAGAACGUUCUGCGGGACAACCCUGUCAAGAGGGUCCUCGGGACGGGAGGGGCGGGGAAGCAAGCUGAGGUACGCCGCACAUCCUGGAGAUCAGAAUUGCUUCCCAAGUGUUUUCCAGUGUAACGUCCGGCUUCCAGCGAUUUGCGGGAAUUUGUCUCCUUUCCCUCCCCUUUUGCGGUGCUUUAUGCCGGAAACAGAGAGGUGUCUGAGGGGCUUGUCUGACCCUGUGAUCCACUUUGCAGGACUACGGUUCAAACGAGAGCCGUGCUUCCCUCCUGGCAUCCGCUCCCCAGGAAGCGGGACGCACCCGUCGCUGCACGACCAUCCUGCAGUCCUUCCCACCGUGGCGGUGCCGACGCUCUGGCACCGCCUGGGUUUGGAGCUCUCUGAGCCGUGGUGCUGGGUGUUUUGACUGUGGGAAUGCUAGUAAACCUGUUCACCACAGUGCUGUAAUUGCCUCUACUGGUGGCGUUAGGCAAUGAAAUCAGACAGUGGUGAGAGAUUUCCUCUGGACGUUCAUUUCAACCUCUGUAGAAAUUCUCUUCAGUCAAAAUGGAGAUCAUAGGAUCAUAGAAUUCUUAGAAUUGGAAGGGGCCACCGAAGGCCAACUCUCCUGCAACGAACAGGGACACCAAAUUUCUGCCUUUAUAAUUAGCAGUGAUAAUGUUUCUUACAGGAUCUCUCUAAAUCAUACUUGAUUGCUACGAACUCUUAAAAUUAGUCCUGUUCAUUAGGAGAGAGGUAAAAGAAUCUAGAAAGUAACUGCAGAAAAGGCUCUGGGGGUCUUGCUGGACACCAAGUUGAACAUGAGCCAGCAACGUGCCCUUGCAGCAAAGAAGGCCAAUGAUAUCCUGGGCUGCAUCAGGAGUAUUGCCAGCCAGCUGAGGAAGGUGAUCCUUGGCCUUUGCUCAGCACUUGUGAGGCUAUACCUAGAGUUCUGUGUCCAGUUCUGGUCUCCCCAGUAUGAGGAACAUUAUGAAGAGAGUUGAAGAUGAUGGAGGUCCUGGAGCACUCCUCCUCUGAGGAAAGGCUGAAAGAGCUGGGAGUGCUUAGUCUGGAGAGAAGGCAGCUCAGAAGAGGUCUCACCAGUGUCUGUAAAUACCUACAGGGAGGAUUUGGAGAAGACAGAACCACUCUAAUAGUGUGCAAGACAACCUUCUAACAGUGCCAGGACACUUCAUAAAUGUGCCAGGACAAAAAGCACUGGGCAAAAAUUGGAAUACAGAGGGCUCCAUCCAAACACCGGGGAGCACUUCUGUGCUGUGCAGGUGAUGGAGCACUGGCACACGUCACCCAGAGAGGCUGUGGAGUCUCCUCCUUGGAGAUCUUGGAGAAGCUGCCUGGACAUGGGCCUGAGCAGCUUGCUCUCAGUGUCCUGCUCUUGAGCAGGAGUUGGACCAGGUGGACCAAGAAACCCCUACCAGCCUCAAACAUUCAGUGGUUCUGUUAUUCUGGGAUGUGAUAAUUUAGUAGAAUCGCAGAAUGGUUUGGAUUAGGGUUGGAAAGGACCUUAAAGAUCAUCCAGUUCCGGUUCAUAGCAGGGGGGUUGGGCUACCCAGGGUUCCAUCCAAUUUGUCUUUGAACAUUUCCAGGGAUGGGGCAUCCACAGCUUUUCUGGUCAGCCUGUGUCAGCGCCUUGCCAUCCUUUCAGUAAAAAUAUUCUUCCUUAUAUUCAGUCUAAAUCUACCCCCUUUUAGUUUUAAAACCAUUGUCCCUCGUUUUGUCAUUACUGGCCCUGGUAAAACAAGCAACCAAACAAAAAACAACACCCUUUCUUCACCUUUCUCGUAGGCCCCAUCCAAAUACUGGAAAGCCACAGUCAGCUCUCCUUGGAUCUUUCUCUUCUCCACACUGAACAAGCGCAACUCCCUCAGCCUUUGUAGGAGAGGUGCUCCAGUCCUCUAGCUACCUUCAUGACCCUUCUCUGGAUUUGCCUUUGUAGAUCCGUGUCUCUUUUGUUCUGCAGCUCCUGGAGUUGGAUGGGCCAGCCCUUGUAGGUUCGGUCAGUAUGUGGGAACAAGUAAGAAACAGAGGGUUUAAACACAUUAAUUUCCUUUCAUAAUUUUGGCUGCUGUUAAGUAAUAUUUUUGUACUGGUUCUCGUGUGUUCACCAGUGGAAGGGGCUGGGUUCUGCAGCUCACUUCCUUAAUGCUUUCAGGUUUUCAAAUAUCAAUUCAUAACCUUAACGAAAAAGACAGAUGCAAAAUGAAUGUGCCUGUGCUUGCGCAUAUCACAUUAUCACACAUUUCACAUUAUCUCUGGUCAUCUCUGGUCACAAGAGAGAGACUAAAAGGGCUUAUUUUGCCCUUAAUCCAUCCCUUAGUUCCUCUGUUUUUCUAGAUGAGAUACCUUGUUCUAGAAAGUUUCAUCUCAGAAAGAUAUAUUCUAAAAUAACAUGCUAGAAGAUCUUGUUUUGUGUUCUGUUUGUACCUACACUUACCCCUGUUUAGUAAUAAUUAGGUCAGAGCAUAGUUCAGGCCGAUGAAAUGCUUUUCUCCUUAAGUCAACCAUCUACCUUCAUGGUCACUCUUUUUUUUUUUUUUUUUUAAUGCUUGUUUUAGAGUUAGCCUUCAGUGAGAUAAAGUAAAAUAUUUUUAGUCAGUUUUAUUUGGUAAGCAAUUCUGACUUGACUGAAUUAAGCUAAAGUUUGCGGCAAGUCAACAAAGCUAACUUUAUUUUAUAUAUUUAAUUAUUUUACUGGGAGAGCCAAGGAGGUUUUAGAUAUCUUGAGAAGCAAAUGGACAAUUAAACUCUACAGAAAUUCAAAAUUGCCUGCUGAUUCUCAGUGCUAAGCAAACAUAAGCUCUAAUUUCUCUUCUUUUUUUUUCCUGAUAUUCUGUUCCUGUGCUCACACUCAGACAUUUAGAUCUUCAUACACAGAAGCACUUGGUUUGUAUAUCUACCUAGAUUUUGGGCCCUGCUAAGAACACCAAGGCAGCUGUAGCCACGCCACCAAGCCCAUCUUGCUGCCUGUGACAGUGGCCUGGGGAAGGACUUGACACCCCCUACAAACAUUUUCCAGACCUUUGGCUUGUUUGCAGCUUGGAGGCUCUCUGAUACUUUCGCACUUGUUUGCAAAAUGCCAACGAGCCCAGAGACCAGAGUUCAGAUCUCACCUAGACCCAAGUCAGUGUUCUGAGGACAAGGCUUACUCAUUCAAAGUCAAAUGGCUUAAUAAAGGAGGGUGGAGGCUAUGUUCUCCAGACUGCCUGAGCACUUGGCUCCAAGCUGAGAGCUGUGGGUACGAAUCCCUGCUGGAAAUCUGGACCUGCAGUGCUUUCAGCGCUGAUCUGCUGGAGUCAGCCACACCUUGCAGCACCUCAGAGAUGGGUCCCAGCCUGGGCCUAGCUGAAUUUCUUCUUGGUUGCCUAAAAUGUGAUUCUCUACUCAGUGGACUCAUUUUGACAGCCUUUCCAAGGCUGUCAGUACAAGGCAAACAAAAUCAUGCCUUGCCCUUGAUUCUGAGAUGGUUGAAUUGCAGGUCAGCUCCAGUGUUGGGCUAUUAUCACAGUGCUAAAUUUGAUCUGGUGAGUCCUGCUGGGGUAAAGAGGAUAUUAGUUCAUGCUCACUCUGCUGACGUGGCUGCGCAAUUUCUGGUCAGCAGUACAAGAAGCACAAGAGCGAGGCUGUGUAGCAUAGCCUGAGGUAUCUAACUCUUCUGUCAUGACGUAUGAAGCCUAAAGUGCAUACCUCAGAGCUCUAGCUCCCACACGUCUAUGAGAAGUGUGCAGAUAUAGUCACAUACAUAGCAUGAUGCGUCACCAUUGCCUCAGUAAUCUGCAAAGCAGGUUAUUGUCAAAGCUAAUGUUCAGGGCCAAGAGAGUUGUCACUGCGGUUACUUACACUGAUGCAUGCACCAGAGAUCUGUCUUUUCUUUUUCUUCCUUUUUUUUUUUUUUUCUUUUUUUUUUCUUCCCAUAGUCACCACAUAAUUUCCACCCAGUCUUCUCAAAUCUUAAUGCUCUGUUCAAAUACGUGCUUUGUGUGCCUCUGGUUUCACCAUGGUGGAUUGUCAUGCGUGGCAGCACUGCAGACUUGUGUAGUUGAAUGUGUAGAGAAAAAGCUGUAAAGAGAACAGAAAAAAGCAUGAACAACGAUGUCAGUUAGUAGAAUUUAAUUAUAACUUAGAAGCAAAGCUAGUUGACUGAGCUUGUGUUAAACGGGUUUGGAGAACCAGGUGAUCUAAUAGCUCUUUGAUUUUUCAGGUAAGAAACUAGUGAAGGACGUGAUUCUCUUAAGAGCACGUGCUCCUCCUCUUCACUGUGGCUAAUUUUGUAUCUCUGUGACUAUUUCUAUGUAUUUUGCUUGUCUGAAAUCUACUGACAACAGUAAUUAGGUGAAUACUACUUUUUUUUUUUUCUUGGUGCGUGUGUUACAAAGGGCAAUACUGAAUCAGAGAGAAGACAUAUCUUGCUAAGGUUCUGAGCUCCAAGAGUAAGUCAAAGACUUCAAGAUUAGCUAUUUAUGUGCUACUUGGACUUUCAAGUAACCUUUUUUUCACUCAGAAGGGCAGUUAGGCCACCAUUAUGUUGUUCUAGCUGACUCCAAACCCACUUAUCCACUUCAAGGUAUGAAAUGAUCAAAUCUUAGAAUGAGUGCAGCAGUCAAAACACCAAGUUUUUGGUGUCUCUACUCUGCUCAAAUAAUGGCACUGACGUUUUAAAUGAAAUAGUUUGACAGCUAUGAAGGUUUGUUUUUCAGGUGGAGCAGCUUAGCAGGGUAGCUGCAAGGGAAUUUUGCAGGAUGGAUCAGAGAGUAGUACUUCCAGCACCAAGGCCAUCUGCUGGCAUUGUCACUGUAAUACUGUCUGAGGAGCAACUAUCGUUACUACAGAUAUAUAGUAUGAAAUAAUCUUACUGUUAAGGAGAGAGAGACAGAAGAAAACUAUUAUUUAGGCUUGCUUAAUUUUUGAAGCUCCCCUCAACUUUUUGAGCUUCAGCCUUACCCUGACAAAGAAACUCCCAUCACAGCUGUAUGUGAGUCAGAAGUCCGGGUAUAUUUAGCUAAUGCUUGUAGAAGUUGCGCCACCUGGAGCCAGUUACACAGAACGGAAAAUACCAAAUGUUUUCUAAUGACCUGUGAUGAAAACAUACAUUUUGCCUGUCCAAGUAAAGCUUGAAGACAGCAAAGCGUGUUCCUGCUGCUUGCAAGAAGAGAAUUAUAAUAAAAUUAGCACUUUGUCGCUGCCAGCAUUUCAUAUGGAGUUCUUUAUAAAUAUUCAUAUAAAUGACCCAUCUUGCUAAUUAAGUAGUUGUCUCUAUACAGAGAAUGGUACUUCGUGGUAUGCAAUGGGUGUUAAUCUCCCCCCAGAAGUUAAGUACAAGGCGCUUUUAUGGUCUGUGAUCUUAACUGUGCUAGGAGCUUCAUUCAGAUACAUAACUUGUCCUGCCUAGAAUUCAGAGUAAGAUCAAACGAUAAAGGUCAACCUCAGUAAACAUUUGCCCAUAGAAAUGGCAUUAAAUAGCUAUGGUGUUCCUCCUCAUAUCCAUCAUGCUGUGUUUUGUGGAAGACUGAACUGAAAUUCAAUUUGCCUGUUGAUGUUUACACCAGCAGCUGUUUUGAGAAUUUCAGCAUUCAUUUCAUCAAGCAAGUAAAUAUUUACUACUCUGUUUCUCCCAAAGCAGCAAUGGCUAUUAAAUGAUAACAAAAGAAGUUGUGGUAUUUGUGCAGAAAUGAAUAAAUCUCCAAUUUUUCUCCCAGGAGUCACCUGACGAGGCAGAAAAAGUGAUUAAAUGUGCAUUUAAGCAUAUUUACAUGGAUGCACACCUUUGAGAAGCCUACUCUGUGGUAGUUAAGAAUCACAGAUGUUGAUUGCAGUGCCUACCUUGUUCUGUUACAACUGCUAUUUCUGUUGACAAAAAAGGCGAGUGCAGGUUAUAGCUUUUAGUUUCCAUUAGUACAUGUAAAAGAGACCGAUGUGAAGAAGUCUGUUCUUCCUUUUGUUUAUAUAAGGGUUUGCUCACUUUCAGUGUGCUGUACCAGAGAAAGUCCACAGAGAACAGUAAUACUCAGCAGGUGCCAAUAAGGACAGAAUCGGAGAGCUAAUUUAAUCUGCUUCUCAGGUUGCUGAAGGUAGCAGCUGGAAUUCCACUAAUUAUCUCCUUCCCAUCUUAGCUUAUAAAGUAAGUGCACCUUAUGGAAUAAGUAGAAAGUAUUCAUUAUUUCCAACAGAUGAAAAUUAUGUUUUAUCCUAAACAAUUGUUAAGAGACCCCAAGCGUGCAUAGUUGCCACUGAGAAGUUUAUAUAUGGGAAAUAACAUGGAGCGUAUUCACUUUGUUAUACUUACGUGUCGAGAUACAAACCUUAGUUUUAGGGGAUUUCAAUCCACUGUUCUUGUAACUACAUUUUUUUUUCUUUUUUAAAUCACAUUUAGUUAUCAUAAAGACCUUUGGUUUCAGUCAGAUUGUUUAAAAGAGACCGCUACACUUAAUAACUGAUAUUAUUUUGUGGUGGAAUAAUCUGUCCUCCAAGAACGUAAAAGAUGUGGAAACACUCUCAUAAAAUAUAAUGCCAGUUCAAGCCAGUAUUUCUCUUCUUAUGAGUGGUGAAUACUGGAAGAAUGACAAACACUACUGGCCUUAUCUGGAUCACAGUACUGCUGAUCUAAAUCACAUAUACAGUGCCCUCCAGUUGUGUUAGGUAUGCAGGAAUGCAGAGCCUCUUAGCAGUGGUUAAAGUCCUCCCUUUGGGAAACAGCUCCCUCAAGUAUUCUCUCAAAGCCUGGCACAUACAUUCCUGGGCAGUUUUUCUGUAGUCACCAUGUCCGUUGAUCUCUUGAUACCAUCCCAUGGAUUUGGGUUGUUUGUCCAACUAGUUCUGUGUUUGCAUAAUGUUUUCGCCACUUCCCAGGAUGAUUUGAACCUCUGUGAAAAUGUGGUACAAUCCUCAGAAUUUACUUAAUAUACCAGGCAUCUCACGUUAACAACCUUUUUGUAGUGUUGCACAAUAGAUAUACAAUGCAAUUUAUUUGUAGGCAGUACAAAUAAGAAAAUAAUAAGCAUCAUUCUUGAUUAUUUUAUUUAUUUUUUUAAUUUAAAUUUUUUUCUCCCCAGAAAGAGCAUAUAGUAAAAAAAAAGAAGUCUACUAGGACAAAUAGAAAAAGGGGCCUAGUUCUCCAAAUUAUUCCCUUAAGUUAUUCUGUUACUACCUGCCAUUCUGGCUGUAAUCAGUUUUAGAUGAAGUCAAUAGCCAAAGAAAUACCACAAAUUAAUUUAUUGAUGACAUUCUUGUUCACUGACUGAUGUUAAUUGACCAUCAAAAGAAUAAAUGUAUGGAAUCCUCAGAAGAAACAUAUCUGUUUAUUUUCAGUUUUCUUAUUGCUCUUCGAAAAUACAUGAUAUCUUACAGCAUCAGCAGAAGGUGGGCUUCUUUUCUCAUACUUACUUUAGAGAUAGUCACUGAAAGUGAAAUAACUUGUGAUGUGAUGAACUCCAUUACACCCUGGGUAUUGCUGCUGGUGAGUGGAUGACUUACAGGAUUAUUAACAGAGUCAAUCUCCUGAUGAUCCAAGCAGACAUUUUUAUUUGCUAACAAAAUGCAGUAAUGGAAAGAACUAUGAGAAAGCUGGAGGAAUUUGCCUAGUGGCUAACAGGACUUGAGCAUACACCUUAAACUUAUUUUAUAGAGGUAGUGCAAUAAAUAAGUAAAUAAAUAUGCAUAUAUACAUAUAUAUAUAUCCUAGCGUAUGUUCAUAUUUGACCAAAAGCUAUUUUCAGGUUAUGGUAUUUCUCAUUUGGGAAAUGAAGGUACUUGCAAUCCACCAUCCCCUGGUCUCUGAGAAGUGACCCAGCCUGAUGCAUAUAUAUCCAUCCUGCUUCAUUCCACCACUCCUUUCUAAGCCAGCAGCCUAAUAAUGAAGCUCUUCAUGAGACUGUGAAGCCAGUACCAGCAACAAUGAGUCUUCAUUAUUCCUGGAGAAGACUGGGGUGUUUGAUAUGCAUGAAGCUUUGUGCAGAUAGCUACGACUAUAAACUGCCAUUUGUUACUGUCAAACAAAUAAGUGUUACAACUAUUUAGAAGUGUUGCUCUUCUCUAGCAAGGGAUUUAUACUUGAAAAAUAAAACAAAAACUAAUUAGUACCUUAUCUUUUUUUUUUCCACCGAAAUGAAUGGAUUUUGGCUGAUGAACGGAAAUCUUGUUCCCUGUUACUGCUUACUCAAUGGGGUUGGAAAUGAUAAAGAAUUGGAUUGAUAUAAGUAACUGAGAUACUUACCUGUGACCUGAGACCUAGUCUGACGAAUCUUUUAGCUAUUUGCACAUAGAUACCAUGUUUGUAAA